AAUUUGCUAUUCGGUGACAUAAGAGGGGGAGUGCGCUUUGCUUUCCCGGGGUCUGGGGCUAAUUCCUUCUUUCUUACCCAUAAACUCAGCAGAUCGAGCUAAAUGCACAAAAGGGAGCGAGAGGUUUGAACCACUGGGAAAAGUAUGUUAUAUAUAUAGUAGGGUUAGAGAGGCGAGUAAGAGAAAAAUAAAAUAAAAUAAACAUCACAGCUCUUUCCAACUAGAAUAUUAGGCACCACGAGAAAAAUAUUUGCCAAGCAGUUUUCGGUGGGUUCAUUUGCUUUAUUUUUAUUUAGGACAGGGGUUUUUGCUGUUGUUCUGGGUUUUUUUCUUUCUGGUGUGGUGGCUUGGGAUUUUUGGUUUCUGUAUUUUGAUGGUUUAUGGAUUUUUGCUUCUGAUUUUUUGCCUUUUGCAAGUUUGUGGUGUUACGUAAAUCACAGGAUCGGCAUCGGUUGGAUUUUUUUGUACGUGCCUUUUCUUUCCCUAUCUAAUCCCUCAAGCGUUUUAAAGAUGUAUUAUUUCAAUACUAAUACUAUUGAAAGAAGCUUAAAUUUUUGGCCAUAUGUAACAAUCCCAGCCCCCACUUUUUUUUUUUUUUUUUCCUUUGGUGCAAUUUUCUUUUUCCCCCUUGGACUUUUGCUGAAGUGUGUCUCUCCUGCACUUCAGAGAAAUGUUCAAAGGAUUUGUUUUGGUUUGGUUUGUUUCUUUCCAGGACAGCAAGUGGUGGGUUUAAUCU
rnacentral:lncRNA from 1 species